UGGAUCACCUCCUAACAGGGAGACAAACCCGAUUGUGAUGUCUAGAUUAUUUAAUUUUAGGCCAUAAUCCUGUCACCUUAGGUCGAUCGGUAUCUCAGUUUGAGAUGAAAGAAAUUAAUUAAUUUAGUUUCUUAGAAUUUUCAGAUUCAGUUCCUAAACUUUGUCUAGGUCACACCCAGCAAAAGGGUACUCCUGGGCCAUUAGCUCAGGUGGUUAGAGCGCACCCCUGAUAAGGGUGAGGUCCCUGGUUCAAGUCCAGGAUGGCCCAUUCGGUGUUGGGGGUAUAGCUCAGUUGGUAGAGCGCCUGCUUUGCAAGCAGGAUGUCAGCGGUUCGAGUCCGCUUACCUCCACUGAUCAACCUCCUGAUAGCGAAGUUUAUGGAGACCUUAAAGUUUUUGUGAUCUAGAAUUCGUCCUUUCUGAAUGAACCUAGCUUCUUAUCAAAUAACACUAAAUAAAUUAUUAGUUUAAUUGAUAGGACGCUGGGCUCGCUGCAAUCCUAAUUGCAGAGAUCUUCAGUAGAACCUUGACAACUGCAUAGUGAGUCUGGAAAAAAAUAAAGCAUCUCAUGGAUGCAUUGUUUUUAAUCUCAAAUUCAGUGUUUUGAUUUUAUUAAAACACUAAAAUGAGGUUAACAAAAUAAUGUUUAAUUCUUGAGCAAGAGCCGAGACUCUAUAAGUCUCUUUCAUUGCAUUAAUUGCAUUGAGAGUUAGAUUCUUAAUUUUGUUCCUUUGAUUCAAAAUUAAGAAAAAUGUGCACAUGUGCACUAGAUAUAUAGAGAUUAAUGGUCAAGCUACAAAGGGCUCACGGUGGAUACCUUGGCACACAGAGGCGAUGAAGG
rnacentral:tRNA from 1 species